GCAAGAUCGGCAGCACCAAAAUUUUGCAUUGCAGGGUUACUUGCAGAUCGCAGGUACUCGGACUGCAUGGACGUGCUAGCUAAUGAGGAGCUCUGCUGCCUGUUCAUGUUCAUCCACUGAACCAAGCUCAGUCCAGGAAGAACCGGGUCAGGCUUUCCGUAAGAUGGAAGGAAGCAUGGAAAUUUACCUAACAAAAAUGACAGAAUCGCCAGCAAAUAGCUUCUUGCCACUCACAAAGAGGCUCCAACCAGUAGUAAGUAAAUGCCUUUUGGGCUGACCUGAUUACAAUGAAGCAUAGUACUGAUCAUUCUCAUGCUAGAACUUGCAAAUACACUCAAGAUCCAUCAGUAUUGAGCAACAACAACAUUCAGCAGUGAACUUCAAAAUGCAAUCUAUGACAUAAAGAGCUCCAACCAUGGAAAUUUGUAUUCAUCAUGCCAUUUUGUAGACAGAAAAAGAAAGCUCUACUCCAUGAUAUGAUAAAACAUCUUCUGUACCUCGGAAUAUAUGACGAAAUGUCCAGAUGUUGUCAUGUAUA